rnacentral:rRNA from 1 species
UACGUAGGUGGCAAGCGUUGUCCGGAAUUAUUGGGCGUAAAGCGCGCGCAGGCGGUCCUUUAAGUCUGAUGUGAAAGCCCACGGCUCAACCGUGGAGGGUCAUUGGAAACUGGGGGACUUGAGUGCAGGAGAGAAGAGUGGAAUUCCACGUGUAAGCGGUGGAAAUGCGUAGAUAUCGGGAGGAACACCAGUGGCGAAGGCGACUUCCUGGCCUGUUCUUGACGCUGAGGCGCGAAAGCUAGGGGAGCAAACGGG